rnacentral:piRNA from 1 species
UGGUACUGAAGAUUGCUGAGCUCCC